AUUGAACGCUGGCGGCAUGCCUUACACAUGCAAGUCGAACGGCAGCGCGGACUUCGGUCUGGCGGCGAGUGGCGAACGGGUGAGUAAUACAUCGGAACGUACCCUGUUGUGGGGGAUAACUAGUCGAAAGAUUAGCUAAUACCGCAUACGACCUGAGGGUGAAAGUGGGGGACCGCAAGGCCUCACGCAGCAGGAGCGGCCGAUGUCUGAUUAGCUAGUUGGUGGGGUAAAGACCCACCAAGGCGACGAUCAGUAGCUGGUCUGAGAGGACGAUCAGCCACACUGGGACUGAGACACGGCCCAGACUCCUACGGGAGGCAGCAGUGGGGAAUUUUGGACAAUGGGGGCAACCCUGAUCCAGCAAUGCCGCGUGUGCGAAGAAGGCCUUCGGGUUGUAAAGCACUUUUGUCCGGAAAGAAAUCGCGCUGGUUAAUACCUGGCGUGGAUGACGGUACCGGAAGAAUAAGCACCGGCUAACUACGUGCCAGCCGCCGCUGUAA
rnacentral:rRNA from 1 species